UAAACUAGAGCAAAGUAUGCGAUAAACUUAAACAGUCAGCUGAGAAGCACAUACAAAAGUGCAGACAGUAAAACAACGAUAGAGAGCGUAGAACGUAGAGAGGAAAAAAGGAAUUUCAUUGGAAGCACCCGGGACGCAACGAAGCGCUGCGCUGAGCUGAGCUGUGUUGAAUUCCAUCCAGACGAGAGAACAGCUGAAGCACGAGCUCGAGUGCAUUUUCAAUUAAGUACGGUAAAAUAUUUGGCCUCCCACUCAUUGCUGCUGCUGUUGCCACUGCUCUGUGUGUUUGUGGGCCAAAAAUGGCAAAAGCAAGCAAGCAAGAAAAACAACAUGAACAACGUCAGCCACAACAACUCAACACUUGAAAUGGAUUGAGCAACUUCUGAGAAGCGAGCAGCACAAAAACACAUUUCGAAUUCAUUGGGAACCACUUCAAAUAGCAGUCAGCACAUCUCUAUAGUAGCUCUAUAGUAUUUGUUGUAGGCCUUCGUUGUUUUUGUAUUUAUAUUAUAUACUUGUAUCAAUAAAGGUAAACU